GUGAACGCUGGCGGUAGGCCUAACACAUGCAAGUCGAACGGCAGCACAGUAAGAGCUUGCUCUUACGGGUGGCGAGUGGCGGACGGGUGAGGAAUACAUCGGAAUCUACUUUUUCGUGGGGGAUAACGUAGGGAAACUUACGCUAAUACCGCAUACGACCUACGGGUGAAAGCAGGGGAUCUUCGGACCUUGCGCGAUUGAAUGAGCCGAUGUCGGAUUAGCUAGUUGGCGGGGUAAAGGCCCACCAAGGCGACGAUCCGUAGCUGGUCUGAGAGGAUGAUCACCCACACUGGAACUGAGACACGGUCCAGACUCCUACGGGAGGCAGCAGUGGGGAAUAUUGGACAAUGGGCGCAAGCCUGAUCCAGCCAUACCGCGUGGGUGAAGAAGGCCUUCGGGUUGUAAAGCCCUUUUGUUGGGAAAGAAAAGCAGCAGGUUAAUACCCCGCUGUUCUGACGGUACCCAAAGAAUAAGCACCGGCUAACUUCGUG
rnacentral:rRNA from 1 species